UACGUAGGGUGCGAGCGUUAAUCGGAAUUACUGGGCGUAAAGCGUACGCAGGCGGCUUUGCAAGACAGGUGUGAAAUCCCCGGGCCUAACCUGGGAACUGCAUUUGUGACUGCAUGGCUAGAGUUUGUCAGAGGGGGGUGGAAUUCCACGUGUAGCAGUGAAAUGCGUAGAUAUGUGGAGGAACACCGAUGGCGAAGGCGGCUUCCUGGUCUGUAACUGACACUGAGGCGCGAAAGCGUGGGGAGCAAACAGG
rnacentral:rRNA from 1 species